rnacentral:rRNA from 1 species
GCCCUAAAUUUAGCUUCCAAUAUUCUAAUGUAAACCAAUCCCCUAAUAAACACAAAUAAAACAUUUUAACAGUUUAGUAAGUGUGACUAAAAAACUAUCCUAAAGCUAUAAAUUAAGUACCGCAAGGGAAUAAUGAAAUAGAAAUUAAAUAAAACUAAAGCAUAAAAAAGCAGAGAUAAGCCCUCGUACCUUUUGCAUCAUGGUCUAGUAAGAAUAAUCAAGCAAAUAUUUAUAUAGUUUGAACUCCCGAAACUAGACGAGCUACUUAAAAACAGCCUAAUGGGCGAACCCUUCUCUGUUGCAAAAGAGUGGGAAGAUUUUUAAGUAGGGGUGAUAUACCUAUCGAGCCUAGAGAUAGCUGGUUAUUCAAGAAAAGAAUAUAAGUUCUGCCUUAAGUAAUAUUAUGUAUAAAUCACAAAACAACACUUAAGAGUUAUUCAAGUAAGGUACAGCCUACUUGACCCAGGAUACAACCAAAACUAUUGGGUAAUACUUUGUACCUACACCAAAGUGGGCCUAAAAGCAGCCAUCUUCUAAAAAGCGUCACAGCUUAACUUCAACACUAAUUAAUACCAAAAAAUAUUUAAACCCCAUUACCAGUAUUGAAUAAUUUUAUAUAAAUAUAAAAAAUACAAUGCUAGAACUAGUAAUAAGAAAUAUGUAUUUCUCCUAAAUGCAAGCACAAAUCAGCAAGAACUACUCCCUGACAAAUACUGUAAAUGUAAAGUAACAACUUAACCAUGAAAACCCUACUUCACUAAACAUUAACCUAACACAAGAGCAUUUAAGGAAAGAUUUAACCAGGGAGAAGGAACUCGGCAAAUUUUAGUCUCGCCUGUUUACCAAAAACAUCGCCUCUUGAUCAUUAUAAGAGGUCCAGCCUGCCCAGUGACCAGUUUAACGGCCGCGGUACCCUAACCGUGCGAAGGUAGCAUAAUCACUUGUUUCUUAAAUGGGGACUAGUAUCAACGGCAUCACGAAGACUACACUGUCUCCCCCCUAAAAUCAAUGAAACUAAUCUCCUCGUGAAGAAGCGAGGAUACAAAUAUAAGACGAGAAGACCCCAUGGAGCUUUAAACAAACCCCAACUGCUCCCUCCCUAAUCAUAGAAAUUGAGCAUUAAUGACGGGUAGUUUUCGGUUGGGGUGACCGCGGAGUAAAACAAAACCUCCACAAUGAAUGUAAUAAAAUACUAAUAAAAGAACCACAAUUCUAAUAAUCAAAAAAUUGACAUAUUUGACCCAAACACUUGAUCAAUGAACCAAGUUACCCUGGGGAUAACAGCGCAAUCCAUUUUAAGAGCCCCUAUCGACAAAUGGGUUUACGACCUCGAUGUUGGAUCAGGGUAUCCUAGUGGUGCAGCCGCUACUAACGGUUCGUUUGUUCAACGAUUAAAACCCUACGUGAUCUGAGUUCAGACCGGAGCAAUCCAGGUCGGUUUCUAUCUAUAAAAUACUCUUUCUAGUACGAAAGGACCGAAAGAAUGUGGCCUACAACUCAUGCCAUAACCUCAUAUUAAUGACUAAUACUCAACUAUACAGGGCUUACCACUCAAUCAUAGAAAAUGAUA